AUUGAACGCUGGCGGCACGCCUUACACAUGCAAGUCGAACGGCAGCACGGGUGCUUGCACCUGGUGGCGAGUGGCGAACGGGUGAGUAAUACAUCGGAACAUGUCCUGUAGUGGGGGAUAGCCCGGCGAAAGCCGGAUUAAUACCGCAUACGAUCUACGGAUGAAAGCGGGGGACCUUCGGGCCUCGCGCUAUAGGGUUGGCCGAUGGCUGAUUAGCUAGUUGGUGGGGUAAAGGCCUACCAAGGCGACGAUCAGUAGCUGGUCUGAGAGGACGACCAGCCACACUGGGACUGAGACACGGCCCAGACUCCUACGGGAGGCAGCAGUGGGGAAUUUUGGACAAUGGGCGAAAGCCUGAUCCAGCAAUGCCGCGUGUGUGAAGAAGGCCUUCGGGUUGUAAAGCACUUUUGUCCGGAAAGAAAUCCUUGGCCCUAAUACGGUCGGGGGAUGACGGUACCGGAAGAAUAAGCACCGGCUAACUACGUG
rnacentral:rRNA from 1 species